rnacentral:lncRNA from 1 species
GACCAGUUGAGGCUGCUGAAGCUGCAGUGGUCAAGUUAACGGCAUUCUACGUUACUGUAUUUAGUUGUAAGCUCGUACACCACUAUAAUUCGACACGAGAUUUCUGAAAAGUCGACAUGCUAUAAAUAAAACUGUAGCGUGCCCUUCUAUUUAAUUAGAGCUGAAAAUACAUUUGGGAGUGAAGUGAUUUGAAUCUGAGCAGUCGCCCGCUGCAACACAACGCUGCCAUGGCGAUGGGCUACUCUUCGACGGGAACAUGCACAUCUGAAAGAGACCUGGCCCGAUGAGCAUCACAGCUACAACAUUGCUGCCACAGUACCUCUAGAUACAAUAGUUAUUGGCUUAUUCAAGUGACCAAGUGGUGACAAGGGAAUCUCGUGGCCACCUUCAGCAGGCAGGCAGUCUACAGUCUACUUCAAGCAUCUGCAAUGCUACACAGAGGGA